UGGGGAAUAUUGCACAAUGGAGGGAACUCUGAUGCAGCAACGCCGCGUGCGGGAUGACGGCCUUCGGGUUGUAAACCGCUUUCAGCCAUGACGAAGCUUUUGUGACGGUAGUGGUAGAAGAAGCACCGGCUAACUACGUGCCAGCAGCCGCGGUGAUACGUAGGGUGCGAGCGUUGUCCGGAAUUAUUGGGCGUAAAGAGCUUGUAGGCGGUUUGUCGCGUCGAUAGUGUAAACACGCAGCUUAACUGUGUGCCUGCUGUCGAUACGGGCUGACUAGAGGAGGGUAGGGGAGAAUGGAAUUCCCGGUGGAGCGGUGGAAUGCGCAGUUAUCGGGAGGAACACCAGUGGCGAAGGCGGUUCUCUGGACCUUUCCUGACGCUGAGAAGCGAAAGCGUGGGUAGCAAACAGG
rnacentral:rRNA from 1 species